rnacentral:rRNA from 1 species
GAUGAACGCUGGCGGCGUGCCUAAUACAUGCAAGUCGAGCGAACAGACGAGGAGCUUGCUCCUCUGACGUUAGCGGCGGACGGGUGAGUAACACGUGGAUAACCUACCUAUAAGACUGGGAUAACUUCGGGAAACCGGAGCUAAUUCCGGAUAAUAUAUUGAACCGCAUGGUUCAAUAGUGAAAGACGGUUUUGCUGUCACUUAUAGAUGGAUCCGCGCCGCAUUAGCUAGUUGGUAAGGUAACGGCUUACCAAGGCAACGAUGCGUAGCCGACCUGAGAGGGUGAUCGGCCACACUGGAACUGAGACACGGUCCAGACUCCUACGGGAGGCAGCAGUAGGGAAUCUUCCGCAAUGGGCGAAAGCCUGACGGAGCAACGCCGCGUGAGUGAUGAAGGUCUUCGGAUCGUAAAACUCUGUUAUUAGGGAAGAACAAAUGUGUAAGUAACUAUGCACGUCUUGACGGUACCUAAUCAGAAAGCCACGGCUAACUACGUG